CCUACGGGAGGCUGCAGUGGGGAAUAUUGGACAAUGGGCGAAAGCCUGAUCCAGCCAUGCCGCGUGUGUGAAGAAGGCCUUCGGGUUGUAAAGCACUUUCAGUGGGGAAGAAAGCCUUGGGGCUAAUACCCUCGAGGAACGACAUCACCCACAGAAGAAGCACCGGCUAACUCCGUGCCAGCAGCCGCGGUAAUACGGAGGGUGCGAGCGUUAAUCGGAAUUACUGGGCGUAAAGCGCGCGUAGGCGGUCUGAUAAGCCGGUUGUGAAAGCCCCGGGCUCAACCUGGGAACGGCAUCCGGAACUGUCAGGCUAGAGUGCAGGAGAGGAAGGUAGAAUUCCCGGUGUAGCAGUGAAAUGCGUAGAGAUCGGGAGGAAUACCAGUGGCGAAGGCGGCCUUCUGGACUGACACUGACGCUGAGGUGCGAAAGCGUGGGUAGCAAACAGGAUUAGAUACCCCAGUAGUC
rnacentral:rRNA from 1 species